CAGCGGAGGGAUCAUUACCGAGUUUACAACUCCCAAACCCCUGUGAACAUACCAUUUGUUGCCUCGGCGGUGCCUGCUUCGGCAGCCCGCCAGAGGACCCAAACCCUUGAUUUUAUACAGUAUCUUCUGAGUAAAUGAUUAAAUAAAUCAAAACUUUCAACAACGGAUCUCUUGGUUCUGGCAUCGAUGAAGAACGCAGCGAAAUGCGAUAAGUAAUGUGAAUUGCAGAAUUCAGUGAAUCAUCGAAUCUUUGAACGCACAUUGCGCCCGCCAGUAUUCUGGCGGGCAUGCCUGUUCGAGCGUCAUUUCAACCCUCAAGCCCCCGGGCUUGGUGUUGGAGAUCGGCGUGCCCCCCGGGGCGCGCCGCCUCCCAAAUAUAGUGGCGGUCUCGCUGUAGCUUCCUCUGCGUAGUAGCACACCUCGCACUGGAAAACAGCGUGGCCACGCCGUUAAACCCCCCACUUCUGAAAGGUUGACCUCGGAUCAGGUAGGAAUACCCGCUGAACUUAAGCAUAUCAAUAA
rnacentral:rRNA from 1 species